rnacentral:rRNA from 1 species
GACGUAGGAGACGAGCGUUGUCCGGAUUUACUGGGCGUAAAGCGCGCGCAGGCGGCCCCGCAGGUCGGUUGUGAAAGCCCCCGGCUCAACCGGGCGGAGGCGAGCGAAACCGCGGGGCUGGAGGCUGGCAGAGGGUGGUGGAAUUCCCGGUGUAGUGGUGAAAUGCGUAGAGAUCGGGAGGAACACCCGCGGCGAAGGCGGCCACCUGGACCAGACCUGACGCUGAGGCGCGAAGGCCGGGGGAGCGAACGGG